GUGAGGAAUAUUGGUCAAUGGGCGCAAGCCUGAACCAGCCAUGCCGCGUGCAGGAAGACGGUCCUAUGGAUUGUAAACUGCUUUUAUUUGGGAAUAAACUCCGGUACGUGUACCGGCCUGAAGGUACCAAAUGAAUAAGCACCGGCUAACUCCGUGCCAGCAGCCGCGGUAAUACGGAGGUUGCAAGCGUUAUCCGGAAUCAUUGGGUUUAAAGGGUCCGCAGGCGGUCUUAUAAGUCAGUGGUGAAAGCCUACAGCUCAACUGUAGAACUGCCAUUGAUACUGUAGGACUUGAAUUCGAUCGAAGUGGGCGGAAUGUGACAUGUAGCGGUGAAAUGCUUAGAUAUGUCACAGAACACCGAUAGCGAAGGCAGCUCACUAGGUCUGGAUUGACGCUCAGGGACGAAAGCGUGGGGAGCAAACAGGAUUAGAUACCCGGGUAGUCC
rnacentral:rRNA from 1 species